rnacentral:rRNA from 1 species
AACGAACGCUGGCGGCAGGCCUAAUACAUGCAAGUCGAGCGGACGUUUUGUUGGUGCUUGCACCGACUUAACGUUAGCGGCGGACGGGUGAGUAACACGUGGGCAACCUGCCCUGUAGUCUGGGAUAACUCCGGGAAACCGGGGCUAAUACCGGAUGAUACCUUUUAACUCAUGUUAGAAGGUUGAAAGAUGGUUUACGCUAUCGCUACAGGAUGGGCCCGCGGCGCAUUAGGUAGUUGGUGAGGUAACGGCUCACCAAGGCGACGAUGCGUAGCCGACCUGAGAGGGUGAUCGGCCACACUGGGACUGAGACACGGCCCAGACUCCUACGGGAGGCAGCAGUAGGGAAUCUUCCACAAUGGGCGAAAGCCUGAUGGAGCAACGCCGCGUGAGUGAAGAAGGAUUUCGGUUCGUAAAACUCUGUGUAAGGGAAGAACAAGUACAGUAGUAACUGGCUGUACCUUGACGGUACCUUAUUAGAAAGCCACGGCUAACUACGUGCCAGCAGCCGCGGUAAGAC